AACGAACGCUGGCGGCAUGCCUAACACAUGCAAGUCGAACGAUACCUUCGGGUCUAGUGGCGCACGGGUGCGUAACGCGUGGGAACCUGCCCUUAGGUUCGGAAUAACUCCCCGAAAGGGGUGCUAAUACCGGAUAAUUUCUUCGGACCAAAGAUUUAUCGCCUUUGGAUGGGCCCGCUUUGGAUUAGCUAGUUGGUAGGGUAAAAGCCUACCAAGGCGACGAUCCAUAGCUGGUCUGAGAGGAUGAUCAGCAACACUGGGACUGAGACACGGCCCAGACUCCUACGGGAGGAAGAAGUGGGGAAUAUUGGACAAUGGGCGAAAGCCUGAGCCAGCAAUGCCGCGUGAGUGAUGAAGGCCUUAGGGUUGUAAAGCUCUUUUACCCGGGAUGAUAAUGACAGUACCGGGAGAAUAAGCUCCGGCUAACUCCGUG
rnacentral:rRNA from 1 species